ACUUAAAUAGUUUAUUAAAAAUAUUAAUUUGUGGAAUUAAGGAUGUAAGUAUAGGUUUUACUUUAAGUA
rnacentral:tRNA from 1 species